AUCCCAGUUCGGAUUGCAGGCUGCAACCCGCCUGUAUGAAGUUGGAAUCGCUAGUAAUCGCGGAUCAGCAUGCCGCGGUGAAUACGUUCCCGGGCCUUGUACACACCGCCCGUCACACCAUGAGAGUCGGGAACACCCGAAGUCCGUAGCCUAACCGCAAGGAGGGCGCGGCCGAAGGUGGGUUCGAUAAUUGGGGUGAAGUCGUAACAAGGUACC
rnacentral:rRNA from 1 species